UACGUAGGUGACAAGCGUUGUCCGGAUUUACUGGGCGUAAAGAGCGCGCAGGCGGUCGUUCAAGUCGAGUGUGAAAGCCCCCGGCUCAACUGGGGAGGGUCACUCGAUACUGAUCGACUUGAAGGCAGGAGAGGGAAGCGGAAUUCCCGGUGUAGUGGUGAAAUGCGUAGAUAUCGGGAGGAACACUAGUGGCGAAGGCGGCUUCCUGGCCUGCUCUUGACGCUGAGGCGCGAAAGCUAGGGGAGCGAACGGG
rnacentral:rRNA from 1 species